GAGGGACAGUUAGAGUCCAUUAUAUCUUUGAUGUUUAAUUUUCUUUUACUUCUCCACCCAUCUCGUUGCUGCUAAAAGGACCAUUUCUUAUAUAGCGCCGGCGCAAAAAGAAGAAAGAAAAAUUCUUACCUGCUUGUCUCGUUUGUCUAAGUUUGACGUCUUUUCCACGUAAUUGAACUUGAUGAAUGUUGGCGUUUGUUUAUCUCUCUAACGCGCACUGUCCUUUCAACACCCCUCCGGAUGACAUAUCUGGGCCGGUUCGGUUAUUUUCAGAACAAUACAGCACCUGUCUAUCUCCAGGGUUUUUGUGAUUAGAGCUUGGAUUGUCAAUUACAACAAGUCAAACCGCAACUCUCGGUUUUCUUUGUCCGGAAAAAGAGUGCUAGUUUUACCAGCUAGCCAGGCUAUGCUAGUCGAUGGAAAAUAGUAAGCACAUUUAUAUGGUUUUGGAAUGACCUGUUCAGGAGAAAAAAAUGCAGUUUCAGUUCCUUUGGAUGACAAUUGAAGGAAACUGAGCAUGUUUGACCACGAUAAAAAGGCAUGUUUUAAAAAUGUUAAAAUACAAGCUGUCGUCAAACCAUCCAUGCAUCCCACGUUUCUUCCAACUGUUAGGCCUAAGUGAGAUCGCUUAGGUUAUGUACAUCGCUACUGAGACAUCGUGUUCUUGGACAACUGGUAUGAUCUACCCAGGCAGAUGCGAGGAUGCGCACCACCAGGUCCAUUCCAUGCACACAUGCAUCAUCUUGGCAUUCUGGCUGGCAGGAAUUGAUCCUGAACGACAACCAACAAGGGGCGACAUAAGAGACGGCACACAGGGAGAGCUGAGGAAAAACGCAGUCCGGAUGUUAUUUUAAAAACACAGACAGAGGAAUGCUGGGGCCUCCUGCUCUGCAAGACCGAACAAGAAAACCAAAGUCUUCAAUUCUCAGACACCAGAAAUUAGUGAAUGGUGAUUUGAUGAAAUCAUAUAUGUAUAUGUAUAUAUAUAUACGUAUAUAUAGGAACAAUGAGGAGAUAGAUGUCCUGGAGCUCACCCCAUGCGCCCAGAAUAGCACCCAUCUGCUGCUUCUCUUCGUCUGUUGGAGAGGAUGCCGGGUUUUCUGGCCCCGGGAAUAAUAAGCU
ensembl:lncRNA